rnacentral:lncRNA from 1 species
GCAAUUAGUUUUGUAAUUAGCUCAUGUUUAGUCCUUCUAAUUAGUAUCUAAACAUUCGAUGUAACAGGGACUAAACUUUAGUCUGUGGAACCAAGCACCCCCUUAGAAUUGGCUUUGCUUCACUAGGACAUAUGAAUGGUACGUGUUCGGUGCUAUACAAUGUAAGGUUUUCUGUGGAACCAAGCACCCCCUCAGAAUUGGUGCUAUACAAUGUAAGUUUUUCUGUAGAACCAAGCACCCUCUCAGAAUUGGCUUUGCUUCACUAGGACAUAUGAAUGGU